CGGGGUGAGUAAUGUAUGGGGAUCUGCCUGAUGGCGGGGGAUAACUACUGGAAACGGUAGCUAAUACCGCAUAAUGUCUUCGGACCAAAGCGGGGGACCUCCGGGCCUCGCGCCAUCAGAUGAACCCAUAUGGGAUUAGCUUGUAGGUGAGGUAACGGCUCACCUAGGCGACGAUCCCUAGCUGGUCUGAGAGGAUGGUCAGCCACACUGGGACUGAGACACGGCCCAG
rnacentral:rRNA from 1 species